GAAAUCGGGUCCAGUUUAUUAAUUUCAAGACUGUUUGAGGAAAGAAAUCGGGUCCAGUUUAUUAAUUUCAAGGCUGUUUGAUAGCCUCUUAAUGGCUCUGAAUCUGAAUGUUUCAGCCGAGCGUUUGGUUUGGAAAAUAGACUCGUUUGGUUUUGCAUCUGGAUAAAACAUUUGCCUCUGAAAAGGCACUUAUUCGUUACAGAUCUAUCGCUGAAUGGGAAAAUUAAUAGACUCACUUGCUGAAGCCCUUCUCCAACGGUGCUUCUUCCUUGGCCUUCAGUAAUCCCUUCAAUCGGCCACUCCCAUUGGCGCCUCCACCGUUGCCCCCGGCAGAGCCACCGGCGCUUCAUCGAUGCCAUUCACCCUCGACUCCCUUCAAUUUUAACCAUCCCUCCGACGAGAACACCCACUGGUAUGUGUUUGUCCUCACCAUCGACGCCAUCACAAAAGACCAAAUUCAUUAUCAUGGAGUUCUUCAUUUUUGCAAUCGAAACUAUCUCUCAGUUCAGUCUCAUCAAAUUCUUGUGGUUUCAUGGAUUAUGGCACCAUUUGUGUUCAAUCCUUCUGGUUCAAACGGUGGAAAUUAUUAUGGUUUUACGGUUUUUCUUUUUCUUCUUCCGGUAUGGAAUGGUCUACAAUGGUUUUCUAAGUUGAAUUGUGUGCUUGAAAUCGGUUUGGUUCCGAAAUCAAAUUGUUUCCUUGAAAUCGAUUUAUGCAACUUCCAGGGUUUAUGUAAGUGAAUGGCAAUGUGGUGUUGUUCAAAUUUUAGUAGUUUUUUCACUCAUUCAAAAGGGUCUUUCAUCUAUUCCUCAUUGGAGUUUCUGUUUCAUUAAGGAUAAUUGAAGAUAUAAUUAUGCAUCUGGAUUAAAGCAAGGAGCUUAUGUCAAAAUGAAAAAGUUCAGCAGUAACCUUCAAAUAGCUCAUAACACCAUGAAUUACUUUGUUAUCUCUCAAAUCUAUACAGAUUUAUAAGUUAUAUACAUGGUGUGUUACAAGGGUAUUUUUGUCUUUGUAAAAUAUUAAUAUGAUAGUUGUAGGUCUUUAUUCAUUUAGCAUAUAUAUAUAUAUAGCAAGGAGCUUAUGUCAAAAUGAAAAAGUUCAGCAGUAACCUUCAAAUAGCUCAUAACACCAUGAAUUACUUUGUUAUCUCUCAAAUCUAUACAGAUUUAUAAGUUAUAUACAUGGUGUGUUACAAGGGUAUUUUUGUCUUUGUAAA
rnacentral:lncRNA from 1 species